CCUUAUGUUUGUUACUCUUUCGUUGCUUAUUUAUGGUUGUCAUGUAUUGUGUUAUAUGCUUUCCAGGUGAAGUUGCAGCUUAUCACCGUGAAGAGCUGGAUGUGCAAAAUCAACGAUCUAUAGAGGAACCAGCUAAAAAGUUCCUAGAGCUUUGUCUGAUUCACAGUAUGCAUCUUAUAGACAGGAAGAGGAGCAAACUCUGAAUAAUAGCUGGGGCUGUGUUGGCAAUUCACAUGCUAACUUCACUUGUAAAUGAGCCUGAACUCUUUGAUAUAAUGAAAUGCAGAGCAAUGGAAGAAGCAAAGGUGGUUGUUCUAUGUGUGUGUUUGAGGAAUCUUUUGAUGUAAGUAUUGUCGGAAUGGAGACAGAGAGAAACUUGUUUUUGUUGUGUUGGGAUGGUGUCUGAUGGAUCUUGAAGCAGACAGAAUCUAUCGCUUCGUCAGAUUGCAUCACUGGGGUUUGUUCCAUUUUGCAGUACUACUCGUGAGCCUGUAACACAAAAUAUUAUUAUUAUAUGCCUUCUCAAUGUGUAAGAUUGUCUGUUAGUCUUCUAACAAUUGCCAUUACAUUUAUGCUAA